rnacentral:rRNA from 1 species
GACGAACGCUGGCGGCGUGCUUAACACAUGCAAGUCGAACGGAAAGGCCCUGCUUUUGUGGGGUGCUCGAGUGGCGAACGGGUGAGUAACACGUGAGUAACCUGCCCUUGACUUUGGGAUAACUUCAGGAAACUGGGGCUAAUACCGGAUAGGAGCUCCUGCUGCAUGGUGGGGUUGGAAAGUUUCGGCGGUUGGGGAUGGACUCGCGGCUUAUCAGCUUGUUGGUGGGGUAGUGGCUUACCAAGGCUUUGACGGGUAGCCGGCCUGAGAGGGUGACCGGCCACAUUGGGACUGAGAUACGGCCCAGACUCCUACGGGAGGCAGCAGUGGGGAAUAUUGCACAAUGGGCGGAAGCCUGAUGCGGCAACGCCGCGUGCGGGAUGACGGCCUUCGGGUUGUAAACCGCUUUCGCCUGUGACGAAGCGUGAGUGACGGUAAUGAGUAAAGAAGCACCGGCUAACUACGUG